rnacentral:rRNA from 1 species
SUUCAUCGGCUAACUCCGUGCCAGCAGCCGCGGUAAUACGGGGGAUGCAAGCGUUAUCCGGAAUCAUUGGGCGUAAAGCGCCUGUAGGUUGUUUAAUAAGUCUGUUGUUAAAGACUAGGGCUUAACCCUAGGAAAGCAAUGGAAACUACUAGACUUGAGUAUGGCAGGGGUAGAGGGAAUUUCUAGUGUAGCGGUGAAAUGCGUAGAUAUUAGAAAGAACACCGGUGGCGAAAGCGCUCUACUGGACCAUUACUGACACUCAGAGGCGAAAGCUAGGGUAGCAAAAGGGAUUAGAUACCCCUGUAGUCCUAGCCGUAAACGAUGGAUACUAGAUGUUGUGCUUUAUGUACAGUAUCGUAGCUAACGCGUUAAGUAUCCCGCCUGGGGAGUACGCUCGCAAGGGUGAAACUCAAAGGAAUUGACGGGGGCCCGCACAAGCGGUGGAGCAUGUGGUUUAAUUCGAUGCAACGCGAAGAACCUUACCAGGGCUUGACAUACUACAAAUUCUUUUGAGAAAAAGAAGUGCCUUCGGGAAUGUAGAUACAGGUGGUGCAUGGCUGUCGUCAGCUCGUGUCGUGAGAUGUUGGGUUAAGUCCCGCAACGAGCGCAACCCUUAUUUUUAGUUACUAAUUCGUUAGGUUCUCUAGAAAGACUGCCGGUGACAAACCGGAGGAAGGUGAGGAUGACGUCAAGUCAGCAUGCCCCUUAUGUCCUGGGCUACACACGUGCUACAAUGGUUAAGACAAAGAGUCGCGAGCUCGUGAGAGUCAGCUAAUCUCGUAAACUUAGCCUAAGUUCAGAUUGUAGGCUGCAACUCGCCUGCAUGAAG